CCUACGGGAGGCAGCAGUGAGGAAUAUUGGUCAAUGGACGAGAGUCUGAACCAGCCAAGUAGCGUGAAGGAUGACGGCCCUAUGGGUUGUAAACUUCUUUUAUAAGGGAAUAAAACGAGGCACGUGUGCCUGGUUGCAUGUACUUUAUGAAUAAGGAUCGGCUAACUCCGUGCCAGCAACCGGGGUAAUACGGAGGAACCGAGCGGUAUCCGGGUUUAUUUGGGUUAAAGGGAGCGUAGAUGGGUUGUUAAGGCAGUUGUGAAAGUUUGCGGCUCAACCGUAAGAUUGCAAUUGAUACUGGCAGUCGUGAGUGCACUUGAGGUAGGCGGAAUUCGUGGUGUAGCGGUGAAAUGCUUAGAUAUCACGAAGAACCCCGAUUGCGAAGGCAGCUUACUAACCUGUGACUGACAUUGAUGCACGAAAGUGUGGGUAUCAAACAGGAUUAGAUACCCGUGUAGUC
rnacentral:rRNA from 1 species